GCAGAGUUUAGGCAUCUCAAUCUCCUAUAGCCUAAAGGAAAACCGAUGGCCAAUAGAAGCAGCUCCAUCAUAAUCCUUGAGUUAGUGGCCAACUAGGAACCCAAUAUCAUACAUAGAUGGACAUUAAAAUCCUCCCCAAGAAGCUUAAAAACUGUAGACAAAUGAACGCAAGGCAAGCUUGAGGAGAGGACUUCUGCAUAAUCAUCCAUAGAAGAUCUUAAAAGAUCCUUCACAACGAAAUUAUAAGACCAGUAAUACUCAAUGCAAAGCUAUAUACCGCCAAAUUAGAAGGGAGAGGAAAG
rnacentral:misc_RNA from 1 species